CCCUUAGAUGUUCGGGGCCGCACGCGCGCUACACUGAUGGGGACAGCGUGUUUGCCAUUCCUGGUCCGGCAGGAUUGGGCAAUCCGUUGAACCCCCGUCGUGAUUGGGAUCGGAGCUUGUAACUAUUCUCCGUAAACGAGGAAUUCCCAGUAAGCGCAAGUCAUCAGCUUGCGUUGAUUACGUCCCUGCCCUUUGUACACACCGCCCGUCGCACCUACCGAUUGAAUGGUCCGGUGAAGCCUCCGGAUUGGCGCGCACCUCGGUGCCGCCGAGAAGUUGGCUAAACCUUACCAUUUAGAGGAAGGUGAAGUCGUAACA
rnacentral:rRNA from 1 species